rnacentral:lncRNA from 1 species
UAAUCAAUCUCUUUCGAAUUCCAACAACUGCAUUUAUUUUUUGUUAAUGGAUUUUAUGUUUUGUUUUUUAUUUUAUUUUAUUUUUAUUUUCAAACUUUUAUUUUUUUUAUUUAUAGGACAAAUGAUUUGGAUAAGUGAUGCCUAGAAAAAGUAUAACCAUGUUAAAAUUAUAAAAUUCCUUUUCAUUCAAAAAAAAGUUAAAAUAAAAAAUAAAAAAGGAUUAUUAAUAUUAAUUAUAAAAAUAAAAUAAAAUAUGCAUAAAUAAAUUAUAAUAAAUAAUAAAUAAUUUCUUAACCUAUGUAUUUAUUUAUUUUAAAAUAAGUCAUUUGAUAAUUAUGUAGAAAAAAACAUUUUUAAUAAGGAAUU